CACGUAGGGGGCGAGCGUUGUCCGGAUUUAUUGGGCGUAAAGAGCUCGUAGGCGGCUUGUCGCGUCGACUGUGAAAACCCGCGGCUCAACCGCGGGCCUGCAGCCGAUACGGGCAGGCUAGAGUUCGGUAGGGGAGACUGGAAUUCCUGGUGUAGCGGUGAAAUGCGCAGAUAUCAGGAGGAACACCAGUAGGCGAAAGG
rnacentral:rRNA from 1 species